rnacentral:lncRNA from 1 species
CCCAGAUGUCUUCAUCAUGCUGAAGUGCAUGCAUUUUGGUUUCCUAGAGUUCCAAAACCUCGGAUCUUCAAGAAUCUACCCCAAAGCUCUGGAGACGUCAACCUUGAGAGAUUUUCCUUAAGAGAACAACUGGCUGGCUCCUCAGACACCCAUUCCUUCCAAAGCACUGGUCGAUCUGAAAAUUCUCAACAUGUCUCACUAAAGAAGCCUAGACCAUUGCUAGUGUUCUACCUUGCGUUGUCGCCAGUUGCCUUCUACAUAUUAAACUGCAGGAAGCAUGGAAACUUCCUACAAGACACUAUGGGAGAAACAUCAGCAAUCUGUAUACACACAACACGUUUUCUUUCUUUCUUUUUUCUUUCUUGACAGCAUCAGCAGCUGCAGAGGCAUUCGUUUCUUUUUAGAAUUUGAGCUCACCAAACCUACAAGCUCUCCCUGCCCCCCACUCGGCUCUCCUGUUUCUAAAAUCCAAGAGAAAAAGGACACCUUCUCCUGGGGACUGGCGCUGGAACCCUGUUGGUGAAUGCUGAGGAAGGGGGAGAAAGUUACUUCGCAGGCAGCAGGGAUGGAUGGGCUCACCUUCCAUGUUUGUUGCCAUGGAGAUGAAUUCCAGCCAGUAGACUUGUUGGCAGGUGCUUUCCAACCUCAGUUCUGCCAAUGAAGAACAGUGUUGCAAAUUUCCCAGGAAGCAGAGGAGAAAGUA